CAAAACAGGGAUCUGUUUCAGCCUUUCAAACCUCCAGGCUAAAAUGUUAAACGUUUGAGAGCAUCUUUUAACUGACUUCACCAGUUUAUUAUGUCAUUCUACGCUGCAACUUGACAAUGACCACUAGAGUUGGCCAGGCAGCGCCAACAGGUUUGGGACCGGGCUAAAAGUCUAUCCAGUCAUUUUAAAGCCAAUGGUUUAGCUGAAGGGAAACAGAACAGUGUCCGUCUCCUCGUGAACUGUGUAAAGUCCCCCACACAUUUACAGUGUUUCAUCGGUUCCCAUCUUCUGGUCCCCAGCCAACUAUAUGGACAACUGGAAGUGUACAGGCAUCCUGAAGGGAGACGGAAGUCCGGUCAACGGGUCGUCAGGACAACCCGGUGCCAUGAAUACCAUGGUGGGGUCCACUGUCCAGACCUCCCAGAAUGCACUGAACGGCUCUGCUGCAGGAAGGAACGGCCAGAGGAUCCCCUUUAGCCCUCGCCUGCGGAGCCUGACUGCCCCGAAGACACUCCACCAGCCUGCGUACUGUUAGCCUAAAGCCCGCUGAGCAGCGAGCACGCUGGUGACCAUGCAUGGACCAGGAUGCCACUGCUUCGGCAAUACUUCUAAUAGGUAUUUCUUCCCCCCUCUGGAUGCCCCCAGGGCAGGGUCCAGGUACGGCCACCUGCUGCCCCCCUUCUCUGAUAGAGCACUCUGAUGCCCAGUUCAGCCCCCACAGCCAGCUCCCCCAGUCCACCAUGGCCAUCCAUGGCCAGCCCCCCCAAUCCCCUCUGUCCCUGCACAGACUGUACUCACACUCUAGAGCCCUCAACACCCUGCCUGAACACGACUGACCCCCUAGAGCUCUCAACACUGACCCUGCCUUAACACGGCUGACCCUCUAGAGCCCUCAACACCCUGCCUGAACACAGCUGACCCUCUAGAGCCCUCGACACCCUGCCUGAACACGACUGACCCCCUAGAGCUCUCAACACUGACCCUGCCUUAACACGACUGACCCUCUAGGGCCCUCAAUACCCUGCCUGAACACGUCUGACCCUCUAGGGCCCUCAACACCCUGCCUGAACACAGCUGACCCUCUAGAGCCCUCGACACCCUGCCUGAACACGACUGACCCUCUAGAGCCCUCAACACCCUGCCUGAACACGACUGACUGGGAGGAUACUCUUCUUCUUAGUGACUAAUCAGAAGAAGACCUUCCCCUCUCCCAGAACAGUUUGGUUUGGUGCAUAAAACCAGUGAAUCUUCAUGAGCAAAAAUGUAAUGAUUUCUUAGCCAUUUUGUUUACGAUAUUCCCUCCAUAUGUAUACAGCCCUAGUGCUGACUGACAGUCUGACAGUCUGACAGUCUGACAGUCUGCCUCCCUGGCAGUCGGCCCAGAUGUAGCCUCCCAGAGUUGUGAGUGAUGAUUCUCUAGAUAUAUUUGAUCUGGGUUUUAUUUAAUUAAAAACCAACAUGCUGGUUUACUACGGUGCCUGGCGGUUCAAACUCACAUCACUGUGUUGGAAUGUGUCUUUACAAGACCGUGGCUCUGUGGGUGUAAUUAAUGUGGGUGUAAUUAAUGUGGGCGUAAUUCCUGUGUGGGUGUAAUUAAUGUGGGUGUAAUUCCUGUGGGCGUAAUUAAUGUGGGUGUAAUUCCCGUGGGUGUAAUUCCCGUGGGCGUAAUUCAUGUGGGUGUAAUUCCCGUGUGUUAUUCCUGUGUGUGUUAUUCCUGUGUGUGUUAUUCAUGUGGGUGUUAUUCAUGUGGGUGUAAUUCCUGUGGGUGUUAUUCAUGUGGGUGUAAUUCCUGUGGGUGUUAUUCAUGUGGGUGUAAUUCCUGUGGGUGUUAUUCAUGUGGGUGUAAUUCCCGUGGGUGUUAUUCAUGUGGGUGUAAUUCCUGUGGGUGUAAUUCACGUGAGUGUUAUUCCUGUGGGUGUUAUUCAUGUGAGUGUAAUUCCUGUGGGUGUAAUUCCUGUGGGUGUUAUUCACAUGGGUGUAAUUCCUGUGGGUGUAAUUCCUGUGGGUGUUAUUCCUGUGGGUGUUAUUCCUGUGGGUGUUAUUCACAUGGGUGUAAUUCCUGUGGGUGUAAUUCCUGUGGGUGUUAUUCCCGUGGGUGUUAUUCAUGUGGGUGUUAUUCAUGUGGGUGUAAUUCCUGUGCGUGUGUUUAAUUUCAAGCCUAAUGUUGUUGCAGUAAUGAAAUGGGGGCUAGUCGAUGCAUAUGAGAGAUUUGAAAGAAUAAAUGCUCAUUUUAAUGUCAAAACUGACUAUACCAUCACCACGGUAACAUUAAAACCCAACGCGGUU